rnacentral:rRNA from 1 species
AUUGAACGCUGGCGGCAUGCUUUACACAUGCAAGUCGAACGGCAGCGCGGGCUUCGGCCUGGCGGCGAGUGGCGAACGGGUGAGUAAUGCAUCGGAACGUGCCCAGUAGUGGGGGAUAGCCCGGCGAAAGCCGGAUUAAUACCGCAUACGACCUGAGGGUGAAAGCGGGGGACCGAAAGGCCUCGCGCUAUUGGAGCGGCCGAUGUCGGAUUAGCUAGUUGGUGGGGUAAAGGCUUACCAAGGCGUCGAUCCGUAGCUGGUCUGAGAGGACGACCAGCCACACUGGGACUGAGACACGGCCCAGACUCCUACGGGAGGCAGCAGUGGGGAAUUUUGGACAAUGGGGGCAACCCUGAUCCAGCCAUGCCGCGUGCGGGAAGAAGGCCUUCGGGUUGUAAACCGCUUUUGUUCGGGAAGAAAUCCUCUGGGCUAAUACCCCGGGGGGAUGACGGUACCGGAAGAAUAAGCACCGGCUAACUACGUG